UUGCCAACUAAAUUUCCCACAUUAAUUCCAAUAAAUUAUAAUAGACGGCACGAGAAAAUUCGGGGGCGAGAAAAAAAAAAAUUAAGUGGGCAAAUUCGAUUUUCGCCUGCGCCUUUACCCAGAAAAAAAAAGGAAAAAUGAGCACAGCCUGGGGGGAAGAGGGAGCCGAAUCAUCGUAAACAAGAAAGCCGGAAAACCGGGUCGAGUAUUAUUAUUCUUACUUUUUGUAUGAUCAACAUGCUUCGAUCGAUGUUCUACGAAACCGAACACCUCCACGUGCGGCUGUCCGGUCGCCGGCUUCCUUCCCUCCCCGUUCCGCUCCGUUCCGUUCCGUUCUCCCAUGUAUGUAGUAAUCAAGAACCGAAGCUACAAAUCCCAACCCCAGAAAAGAAAAGAAAAAGAAAAAGAAAGAGAGAGAGAGAGAGAGAGAGGGUACGAACUUGAAAGAAAAACAAAAAUGGUGCAAAAUGCAUGCCUGGCCUUCCCAUGUACGCCGCUGAAUUUUCCUUUCCUUCUUUUUUUUUUCUUCGCUUUUUUUGGGUCAUUCUUCGGUGGGUGAAAUCUUCUUCACCAUGUCACCAGAAGCAAGAAGCUCGCUCGAGGCCGAAUCCCACGGCGUCUUGCGGCUGAACCAGAAGAGACGCCUCCCUCGUUAGCUCAGCACCGCCCGAAAGAAGAAGCUCCACGGACGGCGGCGGCGGAGGCGAAGGAGACGAGUGGCGCGCCGAGUUGGACAGGAGAGCUCCUCCUUUUCUGUCCUCCAUUGAUGCUGCUGCUGCGGCGGGCUCUCUUUUGCUCUUCGGGUCGGGAGAGGUCGCGAGAAAGUUCGAAGGGAUCGAAGGAGGGAGACGAGAGGCCACGGUAAAGCGACGAACGUUCGAGUUUCCAGAGGACGAAGGACAUAUAAAGGGACACUCUCACAGAGAGAGAGAGAGAGAGAGAGAGGGUGUGUCUCCCCAAGAAGAAGACGAGCGUUUCCCGUUAAUGUUGUUGUCAAAGGGAGUGGGCCAACGAGAAGCCCGCUUUUUGUUUCACACGUUGGGGCGCUUCUCUUUGUCUUCCCCCCAUUCUUUCUCUCUCUCUCUCUCUCUCUACCCACCAGAGUCAAUGGUUUCCGGUUCCUCUAAUCAGAUACCAAGAAUAUUUUAUAAUGCAUCCGGCGCAAUUCCAAUCGUAAUGUUCGGCCCGUGUGAGUUGUAGCCAGUGCGCCGAUCCUAUACAAAACCCUCGACCCUUCUCGUGCCGCCGUCGCGUGAUGUAAGAAAAACACGAUAUGUAUGCGUUCGAGCGACCCAAACGACUUUCUUUUUGCCGUUCAAACGGAGGGCAUGGCUUUGACAGGUCUGGGGAAAACCAAACUCGCCCCGAUUCCAAGAGACAAAAUUCAAUGGCGUGCAUGCGAGGGAGACUUUAAGCGAAUGCUGCGCAAAAGUAAAGCCAUC
rnacentral:lncRNA from 1 species